UGGUGACUCACUGGGCAAGGAAUUGUUU
rnacentral:piRNA from 1 species